AUUGAACGCUGGCGGCAGGCCUAACACAUGCAAGUCGAACGGUAACAGGAAGAAGCUUGCUUCUUUGCUGACGGGUGGCGGACGGGUGAGUAAUGUCUGGGAAACUGCCUGAUGGAGGGGGAUAACUACUGGAAACGGUAGCUAAUACCGCAUAACGUCGCAAGACCAAAGAGGGGGACCUUCGGGCCUCUUGCCAUCGGAUGUGCCCAGAUGGGAUUAGCUAGUAGGUGGGGUAACGGCUCACCUAGGCGACGAUCCCUAGCUGGUCUGAGAGGAUGACCAGCCACACUGGAACUGGGACACGGUCCAGACUCCUACGGGAGGCAGCAGUGGGGAAUAUUGCACAAUGGGCGCAAGCCUGAUGCAGCCAUGCCGCGUGUAUGAAGAAGGCCUUCGGGUUGUAAAGUACUUUCAGCGGGGAGGAAGGGAGUAAAGUUAAUACCUUUGCUCAUUGACGUUACCCGCAGAAGAAGCACCGGCUAACUCCGUG
rnacentral:rRNA from 1 species